rnacentral:rRNA from 1 species
GACGAACGCUGGCGGCGUGCUUAACACAUGCAAGUCGAACGAAGAGCGGUGGACGCUUGCUUCUAUCAAUCUUAGUGGCGCACGGGUGAGUAACGCGUAAUCAACCUGCCCUUCAGAGGGGGACAACAGUUGGAAACGACUGCUAAUACCGCAUACGAUCUAAUCUCGGCAUCGAGGAUAGAUGAAAGGUGGCCUCUACAUGUAAGCUAUCACUGAAGGAGGGGAUUGCGUCUGAUUAGCUAGUUGGAGGGGUAACGGCCCACCAAGGCGAUGAUCAGUAGCCGGUCUGAGAGGAUGAACGGCCACAUUGGGACUGAGACACGGCCCAGACUCCUACGGGAGGCAGCAGUGGGGAAUCUUCCGCAAUAGACGAAAGUCUGACGGAGCAACGCCGCGUGAGUGAUGACGGCCUUCGGGUUGUAAAGCUCUGUUAAUCGGGACGAAAGGCCUUCUUGCGAAUAGUGAGAAGGAUUGACGGUACCGGAAUAGGAAGCCACGGCUAACUACGUG